AGUGCUGCAUAAAGGGUGAAGAUCCUCAAAGAGAAACAGCUCUAUGAGAAAGCUGAGAUGCCACCUCAUACAGCAAGAAUUGUGCAUCUGGAUCGCCUUGAUUUACGUAGCCCCAUCUGUAUUUAUUGCUAUUAUUAAAUUCACUCCUGUCAAAUUGUCA